UUUUUCUUUACAUAUAUAUCUAGGAAAAGACACGCCUAAUGGUAGAGCAAUACCUCUUGAGUUCCACAGGUACCUCACUGCUUUAGAAAAAAAAUAAAUUUUUAGUUGGUAACCUAAAGCUUGCUAAAUUGGAUGAUGGCAAAUACUGAGUUAAUCUAGGUACAACAGUCUCAUUUCAAUAAACACAAAAUGGAAUCAACAUCAAAGAUUUCUAUUAGAGACUUGAAAACAAAUUAAUUAAACCAUUCUCUGAUAGAAGAAUCACUAGCUCAAUUUUACAUCUCUAUCUCUGUUAAAAACGAGACAGAAAGUCAAGAUUAUCAAAUAUUAAAAGGGAUGGGCUCUAGGGGUCUAAAAAGAAGAAUUUUAUGAAGUUUGAGACUGCUUGCUACUGUGUUAAACUACUUCCUUGAUGGAAAUUAUCUAUGGUUUUGGGUAAGGUGUAACUCUAAGAGGGAGAACCUUACCAAUUAACUUAAAGCUAAGAUUGUAUUGUAAUGGCCCCCAAAGUUUAUAUUGUAGCUGACAGGC
rnacentral:lncRNA from 1 species